CACGUAGGGCGCAAGCGUUGUCCGGAAUUAUUGGGCGUAAAGAGCUCGUAGGCGGUCUGUUGCGUCUGCUGUGAAAACUCGGGGCUUAACCCCGAGCCUGCAGUGGAUACGGGCAGACUAGAGGUAGGUAGGGGAGAAUGGAAUUCCCGGUGUAGCGGUGAAAUGCGCAGAUAUCGGGAGGAACACCAGUGGCGAAGGCGGAGACCUGGGCCGAUACUGACGCUGAGGUGCGAAAGCGUGGGGAGCAAACAGG
rnacentral:rRNA from 1 species